rnacentral:rRNA from 1 species
UACGAAGGUCCCAAGCGUUAUCCGGAUUUAUUGGGUUUAAAGGGUGCGUAGGCGGGUUAUUAAGUCAGUGGUGAAAGCCUGCAGCUCAACUGCAGAAUUGCCAUUGAUACUGAUGAUCUUGAGUAUGAUUGAGGUGGGCGGAAUGUGUCAUGUAGCGGUGAAAUGCUUAGAUAUGACACAGAACACCGAUUGCGAAGGCAGCUCACUAAGUCAUAACUGACGCUGAUGCACGAAGGCGUGGGGAGCAAACAGG